ACGCACGCUGGCGGCGUGCUUAACACAUGCAAGUCGAACGGAAAGGCCCUGCUUUUGUGGGGUGCUCGAGUGGCGAACGGGUGAGUAACACGUGAGUAACCUGCCCUUGACUUUGGGAUAACUUCAGGAAACUGGGGCUAAUACCGGAUAGGAGCUCCUGCUGCAUGGUGGGGGUUGGAAAGUUUCGGCGGUUGGGGAUGGACUCGCGGCUUAUCAGCUUGUUGGUGGGGUAGUGGCUUACCAAGGCUUUGACGGGUAGCCGGCCUGAGAGGGUGACCCGCCACAUUGGGACUGAGAUACGGCCCAGACUCCUACGGGAGGCAGCAGUGGGGAAUAUUGCACAAUGGGCGGAAGCCUGAUGCAGCAACGCCGCGUGCGGGAUGACGGCCUUCGGGUUGUAAACCGCUUUCGCCUGUGACGAAGCGUGAGUGACGGUAAUGGGUAAAGAAGCACCGGCUAACUACGUG
rnacentral:rRNA from 1 species